ensembl:lncRNA
CCGGACCCGCCGCCAAGCGGAAGCUGGAGGAGGCCGAGGCGCCGCCGGGAAAGCGUCCCGGGCUGCGGGGCGAGGAACCGGCGGCCGCCCCGCAAGAAGAAUUCAAUCAGUAUAACUCAUUCUUGUAUUGGAGAGCACCAUUGCCUACAAUUGAUUUAUCUGAUAUUCAGAGCCUGCAUGGAGAGACUACAUCUGCCGAUAAAACUCCUUCAAGGACUGAUACCAUGGAGACUGAGAUGGAGACCUGAUCAGUUGGUUUAUAGUUGUACGUCUACUCGCAGGGAGCUCGUUUCUGUUUGGAUUCAGUUUUUCCUGCGUCGGAGAAAAAUCAACGUGCUUCUGUUUUUAUGAAGAAACAGUGUUAUAUCAAUCUGAAAAGGCAAGUCAGAGCUGUCAGGUUGGUGGAAUCAUCACUAUUAGAUACUGUUAGCUGGCUGGAGGUCUGAACUUACUGAUUAUGUGUGGAGGAGGCUUUGUCUAGCAUGAACGCCUGAAUUCAUGGAAGCAGGGCAGAAGAAAAUGACAGAAAAUUAGUUAACUUCCAGAUGUAAUUGUAGGAAACAGUUGGAUAAGUUACACGUGGAAAGGAAAUGGAAAAUUAUUUAGCCUGUCCUGAAGAAAAGGUGUAACUGUUGUACCAGAAUAUGAAAUUCUUUAUCAUAAAGCACAGAAACUAGUAUUUUUAGUAGGGUUUUUUUCAGUGUAAUAGCUAAGCCAAAAAAAACAAAAACAAAAAACAAACAAACAAAAAAAAAACCACCACGUAAGUCCACCAAAACCAGGCAAAACAUUCCCUUUUCUAUGCAAACCAAAAAUGAGUGUGUUGGGGAUGGGAAGGGAAAAGGGGAUCUAUUCUAUAAGCUGCCAGUGUUCUGAAUGAUUACAGUCUUCUUGUGAUCACUCAAAGCAGCUAGCUUUUACAUUUUUUUUUGUCUGUUCUUAAGUUAAUGAUUUUCUUAUUCUUUGUGAAAUUAAACUAGCUGGUAAUGUGGAAAUAGCAGCUGUGUGCAGGGUCAUGAAAGGUUAACGCAGUGUGAAUUGAGUACUUAGUUGACUGAGGUUUAGUUUUUUGCAGACAUUGUGGAUGUUGAAGAAACCUUUUUUUACAGAAGUUCAAUUAGUUAGUGGUUUUUUUUUUUUUUGCUAUGAAAUAUCAUUGUAAUGUGCUUUUUUGUAAUUUAUUUACAAGUUAAAAAUGCGAUUAGAAAUAUGUGUCUUCAGUAGUAGGUCGAAAUUUAAAGUUGUAUUGGCAGACUGUCAGACUUGCGAAUGUGACUUGUUUAUAGGUGAGUUUGUCAUUCAUAUUUUUGCCAGAAUCAUCUUAAAAUAAAGAAAAUUCUUUCUACUAACCUGUUUGUUGAAGGUCAAUCACCUGUGUGCAUUCGAAGGCCUUGGGACCAUUACUGUUCGAAGCUCCUGACUUCUCUUAAGAUGGUUUGGACAACUUAGUGGUUUUAUUUAUUAAGUGUCCCUGUUUGAAAAGAGACAACUUGUCCGCCUUCUUACUGAACAGUUCAAAACUUUUUUUCAGCAUCUGUACUGCAAAAUAUUUGUGUUGACAGGGUCCCCUAGUGCCUGCAGAAGAGAUGAAGAGGCUUACUGAAUUGGACGUUUCGUGGUGCUUGUUCAGAUAUGCUUCUAAUUGCUGCCACAUUAGCAAGAUGCUCAUUUAAAGCAAUAUUCAUAUUAAGCAUGCAUUUUAAUAUUGUAUUAAGUGCAAAUCUAGUUCUCUUAGGAGAUCCUUUAAACAUACCUUUAAAAACUGCUAGAUUUCUGUCAAGAAUGCAACCACUAUUGUUUACUGUUACCAAAGUAAAUUAGAAAGAUG